rnacentral:rRNA from 1 species
AACGAACGCUGGCGGCAUGCCUAACACAUGCAAGUCGAACGAAGGCUUCGGCCUUAGUGGCGCACGGGUGAGUAACGCGUGGGAACCUGCCUGGCAGUGGGGAAUAACCCUGGGAAACUGGGGCUAAUACCGCAUACGCCCUUUUGGGGAAAGAUUUAUCGCUGUCAGAUGGGCCCGCGUCGGAUUAGGUAGUUGGUGAGGUAACGGCUCACCAAGCCGACGAUCCGUAGCUGGUCUGAGAGGAUGACCAGCCACACUGGGACUGAGACACGGCCCAGACUCCUACGGGAGGCAGCAGUGGGGAAUAUUGGACAAUGGGGGAAACCCUGAUCCAGCAAUGCCGCGUGAGUGAUGAAGGCCUUCGGGUUGUAAAGCUCUUUCAGGUGGGACGAUGAUGACGGUACCACCAGAAGAAGCCCCGGCUAACUUCGUGCCAGCAGCCGCAGUAA